AAUUUCUAGUGUAGAGGUGAAAUUCGUAGAUAUUAGAAAGAAUACCAAUUGCGAAGGCAGCUUUCUGGAUCAUUACUGACACUGAGGAACGAAAGCAUGGGUAGCGAAGAGGAUUAGAUACCCUCGUAGUCCAUGCCGUAAACGAUGUGUGUUAGACGUUGGAAAUUUAUUUUCAGUGUCGCAGGGAAACCGAUAAACACACCGCCUGGGGAGUACGACCGCAAGGUUAAAACUCAAAUGAAUUGACGGGGACCCGCACAAGUAGUGGAGCAUGUGGUUUAAUUCGAAGAUACGCGCAGAACCUUACCAACACUUGACAUGUUCGUCGCGACUCUAAGAGAUUAGAGUUUUCGGUUCGGCCGGACGAAACACAGGUGCUGCAUGGCUGUCGUCAGCUCGUGUCGUGAGAUGUUGGGUUAAGUCCCGCAACGAGCGCAACCCUCACUUUUAGUUGCCAUCAUUAAGUUGGGCACUCUGAAAGAACUGCCAGUGAUAAGCUGGAGGAAGGUGGGGAUGACGUCAAGUCCUCAUGGCCCUUACGUGUUGGGCUACACACGUGCUACAAUGGUAUCUACAACAGGAAGCAAGACUGCGAAGUUAAGCAAAUCCCUAAAAGAUACCUCAGUUCGGAUUGCACUCUGCAACUCGAGUGCAUGAAGCUGGAAUUACUAGUAAUCGUGGAUCAGCGUGCCACGGUGAAUGCGUUCCCGCCCCUUGCACACACCGCCCG
rnacentral:rRNA from 1 species